CCUACGGGAGGCAGCAGUGGGGAAUUUUGGACAAUGGGCGCAAGCCUGAUCCAGCAAUGCCGCGUGAGUGAAGAAGGCCUUCGGGUUGUAAAGCUCUUUUGUCAGGGAAGAAACGGUCUACUCUAAUACAGUGGGCUAAUGACGGUACCUGAAGAAUAAGCACCGGCUAACUACGUGCCAGCAGCCGCGGUAAUACGUAGGGUGCAAGCGUUAAUCGGAAUUACUGGGCGUAAAGCGUGCGCAGGCGGUUAUAUAAGUCAGAUGUGAAAUCCCCGGGCUCAACCUGGGAACUGCAUUUGAGACUGUAUGGCUAGAGUGUGUCAGAGGGGGGUAGAAUUCCACGUGUAGCAGUGAAAUGCGUAGAUAUGUGGAGGAAUACCGAUGGCGAAGGCAGCCCCCUGGGAUAACACUGACGCUCAUGCACGAAAGCGUGGGGAGCAAACAGGAUUAGAUACCCUGGUAGUCCACGCCCUAAACGAUGUCUACUAGUUGUCGGGACUUAAUUGUCUUGGUAACGCAGCUAACGCGUGAAGUAGACCGCCUGGGGGAGGUACGGUCGCGAGAGUAAACUACAAAUAGAAGUAGAGNGNGAGAGUAGCGACGGACGACACGAGGGAGGAGG
rnacentral:rRNA from 1 species